CGGGGUGAGUAAUGUCUGGGAAACUGCCUGAUGGAGGGGGAUAACUGCUGGAAACGGUAGCUAAUACCGCAUAACGUCGCAAGACCAAAGAGGGGGACCUUCGGGCCUCUUGCCAUCGGAUGUGCCCAGAUGGGAUUAGCUAGUAGGUGGGGUAACGGCUCACCUAGGCGACAAUCCCUAGCUGGUCUGAGAGGAUGACCAGCCACACUGGAACUGAGACACGGUCCAG
rnacentral:rRNA from 1 species